rfam:Punica granatum cultivar Dabenzi scaffold135, whole genome shotgun sequence.
ACGACCUUACUUGAAUAGGAUCUGUUCUAUAGGCUCGUACCUCUGUGUCCUUGAGUUUUACGGAGACAGGAAUCUAAGUCUGGUGGAUGAACCAUGGCUGUGUGAUUAGAGCGUGAUUAAUGGCUCUCCUCCUCCCUUGAGGGGGCGGAGCAACUGUAGAGGAUCGUUCUCAGCUCCUCGGUUUCGAGGACUGGGGUGGUCACACGGUUGUCUGACAGACU